GUUGUAUGGUUAAGUGACUAAGCGUACACGGUGGAUGCCUUGGCAGUUGGAGGCGAUGAAGGACGUAUUAACUUGCGAUAAGCCUAGUCAAGCUAGUAAAAAGCGCUUGAGACUAGGAUUUCCGAAUGGGGAAACCCACCUGCUUGCAGGUAUCUUGCACUGAAUACAUAGGUGUAAGAGGCGAACGCGGAGAACUGAAACAUCUAAGUACCCGUAGGAACAGAAAUCAACCGAGAUUCCGGAAGUAGCGGCGAGCGAAACCGGACCAGCCCUUAAGCUUAUUAUGUGUUAGUGGAACAUUCUGGAAAGUAUGACGAUACAGGGUGAUAGUCCCGUACACGAAAAUGCAUCUUAAGUGAAAUCGAGUAGGUCGGAGCACGUGAAACUUUGACUGAAUAUAGGUGGACCAUCAUCUAAGGCUAAAUACUCCCAACUGACCGAUAGUGAACCAGUACCGUGAGGGAAAGGCGAAAAGAACCCCUGUGAGGGGAGUGAAAUAGAACCUGAAACCGUGUACGUACAAGCAGUAGGAGCCCACUUGUUGGGUGACUGCGUACCUUUUGUAUAAUGGGUCAGCGACUUAUAUUUUGUAGCGAGGUUAACCGAUUAGGGUAGCCGUAGGGAAACCGAGUCUUAACUGGGCGUUGAGUUGCAAGGUAUAGACCCGAAACCCGGUGAUCUAGCCAUGGGCAGGUUGAAGGUUGAGUAACAUCAACUGGAGGACCGAACCCACUAACGUUGAAAAGUUAGGGGAUGACCUGUGGCUAGGAGUGAAAGGCUAAUCAAACCGGGAGAUAGCUGGUUCUCCCCGAAAUCUAUUUAGGUAGAGCCUCGGACGAAUACUUACGGGGGUAGAGCACUGUUAAGGCUAGGGGGUCAUCCCGACUUACCAACCCUUUGCAAACUCCGAAUACCGUAAAGUACUAUCCGGGAGACACACGGCGGGUGCUAACGUCCGUCGUGAAGAGGGAAACAACCCAGACCGCCAGCUAAGGUCCCAAAGUCAUAGUUAAGUGGGAAACGAUGUGGAAAGGCCCAGACAGCCAGGAGGUUGGCUUAGAAGCAGCCACCCUUUAAAGAAAGCGUAAUAGCUCACUGGUCGAGUCGGUCUGCGCGGAAGAUGUAACGGGGCUAAACUAUGCACCGAAGCUGCGGAUUCAAAAUUUAUUAUCAGAAGUGCGAAUGCUGACAUGAGUAACGAUAAUGCGGGUGAAAAACCCGCACGCCGGAAGACCAAGGGUUCCUAUCCCAUGUUAAUCAGGGUAGGGUAAGUCGACCCCUAAGGCGAGGCCGAAAGGCGUAGUCGAUGGGAAACGGGUUAAUAUUCCCGUACUUGGUAUAAUUGCGAUGGGGGGACGGAGCAGGCUAAGCAAGCAUGGCGUUGGUUGUCCAUGUGAAAGUGAGUAGGUUGAGAGUUUAGGAAAAUCCGGACUCUUAAGACUGAGACACGAGACGAGCACCUAAGGGUGUGAAGUUGUUGAUGCCAUACUUCCAGGAAAAGCCUCUAAGCUUCAGAUUAUACCGAAUCGUACCCCAAACCGACACAGGUGGUCAGGUAGAGAAUACUAAGGCGCUUGAGAGAACUCGGGUGAAGGAACUAGGCAAAAUCGUACCGUAACUUCGGGAGAAGGUACGCUCCGAUUGGUGAUGAGACUUGCUCUUUAAGCUGAUUGGAGCCGCAGUGACCAGGUGGCUGGGACUGUUUAUUAAAAACACAGCACUGUGCAAAAUCGCAAGAUGACGUAUACGGUGUGACACCUGCCCGGUGCCGGAAGGUUAAUUGAUGGGGUUAGUUUUCGGACGAAGCUCUUGAUCGAAGCCCCGGUAAACGGCGGCCGUAACUAUAACGGUCCUAAGGUAGCGAAAUUCCUUGUCGGGUAAGUUCCGACCUGCACGAAUGGUGUAACCAUGGCCACGCUGUCUCCACCCGAGACUCAGUGAAAUUGAAAUCGCAGUGAAGAUGCUGUGUACCCGCGGCUAGACGGAAAGACCCCGUGAACCUUUACUACAGCUUGGCACUGAACAUUGAACCUACAUGUGUAGGAUAGGUGGGAGGCUUUGAAGCAGAGACGCUAGUCUUUGUGGAGCCGUCCUUGAAAUACCACCCUUGUAGUUUUGAUGUUCUAACGUUGGCCCCUAAUCGGGGUUACGGACAGUGCCUGGUGGGUAGUUUGACUGGGGCGGUCUCCUCCCAAAGAGUAACGGAGGAGCACGAAGGUUGGCUAAGUACGGUCGGACAUCGUACGGUUAGUGUAAUGGUAGAAGCCAGCUUAACUGCGAGACAGACACGUCGAGCAGGUACGAAAGUAGGUCAUAGUGAUCCGGUGGUUCUGAAUGGAAGGGCCAUCGCUCAACGGAUAAAAGGUACUCCGGGGAUAACAGGCUGAUACCGCCCAAGAGUUCAUAUCGACGGCGGUGUUUGGCACCUCGAUGUCGGCUCAUCACAUCCUGGGGCUGAAGUCGGUCCCAAGGGUAUGGCUGUUCGCCAUUUAAAGUGGUACGCGAGCUGGGUUUAGAACGUCGUGAGACAGUUCGGUCCCUAUCUGCCGUGGGCGUUUGAGAAUUGAGAGGGGUUGCUCCUAGUACGAGAGGACCGGAGUGAACGAACCGCUGGUGUUCGGGUUGUCAUGCCAAUGGCAUUGCCCGGUAGCUACGUUCGGAACUGAUAAGCGCUGAAAGCAUCUAAGCGCGAAGCAGGCCUCGAGAUGAGUUCUCACUAGACUUUUAAAGUCUCUGAAGGGCCGUUGAAGACUACAACGUUGAUAGGCAGGAUGUGGAAGUGGUGUGAGCCAUUAAGCUAACCUGUACUAAUUACCCGUGAGGCUUAACCAUACAACGCCAAACGCGUUU
rnacentral:rRNA from 1 species